GCUACUGAGUCACAUCCUCCCCUCAGGCACAGCCCCUGUCCCUCCCACACAGCUGGGGGCUUUCUCUGGGGCAGAGGCAAGCAGGCACCGAGAGAAUGCUGCUGCUGCCAGUUCUGGCCCUGGCUGAAGCCUGCUUGCAUCCAUUCCCCUCCCCAUGGAGGCUCCGCUUGCAGCAGCGGCAGGACGCUGCCAUGCGUACACCUGCAGGCAGCAGGCUGGCAGUGCUUGCUGCGUUUUCUCUCCUUCUGAUAGAUGGACAUGCACAAGUGCUGCUGAAACAGAGCCCACCAUCUCUCACCAGAAAGAGAUUCACAGCUGCGAAUUUUGACUGCAAAGUCGAGGGCAUAGCUGACUUCCAGGGAGCCUACAUCCACUGGUACCGACAAAUGCCUGACGGAGCUCCUGAACGGAUUCUCUAUGUGACAGCAGAAGCAGAAGUUACCUAUGAUUCAGGUUACAAUAAGAACAAGUAUCUGUCUUCUAAAAUACAGAAUAACAUCUGCAUUCUCUCAGUUCUAAACAUAGGUGCUGAUGAUGAAGGUACCUACUACUGUGCCUACUGGGAGUAUCACAGAGGGAGCAGUUUGCAGGCAGCCCCUACAGAAAGCAGGCUGCAACCUGAGAGGCACACUUUCUUUCAAGUGCCGACAACCACAGCUGCCUUCCUGCCCCCAUACCUCAGACUUCAGGACAUCCCCACAAGCUUACACUGAGGAAGGAAAUCCAAGAGAAGAGCCAGGACACUUAUGCGGCAAUCAUGUUCGCAACCCACUGCCUGUGUGACUGUUCUGUGCAGCCUGAGUCCAUUGUUUCCUCUCCCCACCGGCAGUUGUCCUCCAUCUAAUGUUCAUUGCCUAAAUCCCUACAGGCUCAGGCUGGAUGAUGGGCUGACAUCAUCACUUCUGGAUGUUCCUCCUUCAGCUUUAAUCUGGCCUUGCAAGACACUUGUCUGUUUAAAACUUCAACACACAUGUGGACUAAUAAUAACUGUAGUAUUAGAAAAAGUGUCCUCAAGACAGUAAAUUCUGUGCUUACAAAAUUUUACUUGAUUUUCACCGCUGGCACGGCAUCACUAAAGGACUUGAAACAAAAUGAUGAGUCUGUCUCAAGAAAACUGACAGUAGGAGUUUACAGUACCAUUUCUGACGUGAGGUUUAUGCAGCGUGCUGCAGUCAAUAAAGACCUGCAGAAGAUCCCGAGCAGAUUCACUGUCUUAGUCAGAGAAUGGGAAACCUUCCUCAGGAAAGAGCAUGAGGUGGGGCGCGUCUGUUUGUGGGGACAAACAACGUCAGGGGUUGGUGCAGAAGGCUGAGCAGGCCCGCUGAAGCUGUCCUAAGCAAGAGGAAGACAGGAGUUUACCAUGAACUAGUGAAUGUGUUCUACAAAAGCAGGCAGCGCUUUCUAGGAAGACUGAUGAAAUAUGCUUCUUGGUCAGCCCUGGGGGUCU